GAUGAACGCUGGCGGCGUGCCUAAUACAUGCAAGUCGAGCGAACAGACGAGGAGCUUGCUCCUCUGACGUUAGCGGCGGACGGGUGAGUAACACGUGGAUAACCUACCUAUAAGACUGGGAUAACUUCGGGAAACCGGAGCUAAUACCGGAUAAUAUAUUGAACCGCAUGGUUCAAUAGUGAAAGACGGCUUUGCUGUCACUUAUAGAUGGAUCCGCGCCGCAUUAGCUAGUUGGUAAGUUAACGGCUUACCAAGGCAACGAUGCGUAGCCGACCUGAGAGGGUGAUAGGCCACACUGGAACUGAGACACGGACAAGACUCCUAAGGGAGGCAGCAGUAGGGAAUGUGCCGCAAUGGGCGAAAGCUUGACGGAGCAACGCCGCGUGAGUGAUGAAGGUCUUCGGAUCGUAAAAAUCGGUUAUUAGGGAAGAACAAAUGUGGAAGUAACUAUGCACGUCUUGACGGUACCUAAUCAGAAAGCCACGGCUAACUACGUG
rnacentral:rRNA from 1 species